GCACACCCUGCCUGUUACUGGGAGACCGAAACAGGAAAAACAUACCUUGCAGGUUAAGGGUUCUGUUUGCAGUCAAGACAAGAGAGCGGCGGUAAGGUUCCAGCCAUGUUCCUCGAAUCUCAACACAGAUGUACUAAGAUUACAGAUCAAAAGGGGUGCCAAACCAGUGAUUUCACCCACUGAGCCAUCUCCCUGGCUCGGAUCAGCAUUUUAACAGGACCAAGCAAUUCUUGUCCACACAGACAUUUGACACCCACUGCAUUGGAUCUUCGAGCCUUUCAUAUGAAGAACUGUUUGCUCUGGGAAUCCAUUUUACCUCACGCCUAAAACUGACAGGGAAGAAAGUCCUCGAGUGCCCUCUGGAGGUCAUCGUAGGAACUGGGCAGCUUUAUAGUGAGGUUUUGUUUUCUUUUUCUCGGGGACAGGCGCAUUGCUUCCCGGAGCCUCAGGAUUCCUGGAGAACCCAAUUGCUGUGGCCUUGCUUAGUAUCACUAAAUCCACAUUCUGUCCUGGCCAAUGCCAGCCUGACCCAGGUCCUCUGGUGCUGUGACCACGGCUGCUGCCACCGGCUCUGCAAAUGAAAACAAACCCAAGGGAUUGCUCAGAACUUAAUGAAUGAAGCAUUUCUUUUCUAUAAUUUGUUUUUACUUCACAAAAAAAUGAGACUCCCAAGAAGCACUCCCAGAAAAUGAAAGGACAGGACAGGAAAAGCCCUGCCCUCUGAAAAAUCUAUCAAGUGCGCCCACACAAGUUCCCAGCCGUCCGACCACACAUGCAGUUCCUCAGAUUUAUAGCUUAAUCUUGCAAAAAUGGGACCGGUUGCUUUGAGAAAAACAGUUAACUAGACAGAUUGCUUGGGGGUGAAAGGAAGACUUCUGCCUGUGUCCGUGAUUAACUUGUGCGGAGCGUGAGUUUCAGUCGCAAAAACAAAAACAGCGUGCAGUGGCAUAAGGUAUCUGUCACAGUUGCCAUUGUACCCAAGGCGGAAUUACUUACCUAUAGGAGUCACUGCAAAAUCUGCUAUAAGCCAUGCUGCUAGCUACCGCCUCCUCUGCAGGGAACUUUGUAACUGUUAACACAAGGUGAUCCAGAACUGAGGAAACGCAGGCUUCUCUUGACCCCCAGAACUCCACACUCACCAGGCUGUGUUCUCACCUUCCUCGCAACCACUUCUCAGUCUCACCACAGGGCCCUGACCUCCAAUGAGGGGAGCGAUACCUGGAGUAUCAUUUUAUCUCUACUCUUGACAAAAAUCAUCUCAGCUGGUCUUCAAGGCACCGAGUAUUCACCAAUGAGCCUCGCUUUUCUACUU